rnacentral:rRNA from 1 species
UACGUAGGGUGCAAGCGUUUGUCCGGAAUUAUUGGGCGUAAAGAGCUCGUAGGCGGUUUGUCGCGUCGGCUGUGAAAACCUAGGGCUCAACUCUGGGCUUGCAGCCGAUACGGGCAAACUAGAAUUCGGUAGGGGAGACUGGAAUUCCUGGUGUAGCGGUGAAAAUGCGCAGAUAUCAGGAGGAACACCGGUGGCGAAGGC